GGCCCUGGAAGUUAUUGUAAAUAUAUUGCAUGUGCAUGUAUAAAAAAGUAAGGGUAGGACACUCUUUUUGGGGCGAAAUCGGGUUUGACGAAGUCUGGGCGUUCCUCAAACGAAAUUUCGCGAUAAAUCGUUCAAGUAUACUUUACUUACGACAUAUGUAUACAUUCGUUCCGCUCCAAUGCUGUUACGUCGAAGAAAAAGGUGUUUUUAUACAUCCAAGUGCCUAAGAAUUUCGCUAGACUGGUUUACAUCCGGUUUAAUCGCAGUGAAUCGAAAGAUAAGUUCUGAUUGGUUAAUAAUAAAAUAAAUCUGCUGGUCAAUAAGGUGGCGAAACUGAUAACAAUUUAUGGUGAGUAUGUAUCAAAUGUUUGAAAGGAGUUAUGCAUAUAGAUACUGGGUAGUUUGGCCUUUCAACAAUGAAAUGCGAGAAUAAUGAAGAAGAUUGACAAAUAUCGAUAAGAAAUUAAUGAAUUUAUUUCAUUAUUGACCAAUCAGAACUUACCUUUCAAUUUACCUUUCGAUUCACUGCGAUUAAACCGGAUGUAAACCAGUCUAGCGAAAUUCUUAGGCACUUGGAUGUAUAAAAACACCUUUUUCUUCGACGUAACAGCAUUGGAGCGGAACGAAUGUAUACAUAUGUCGCAUGCAUUGGCUGCUUGACAUAUCCCUGGAAGAGGACACCAACUAGCUAACACAGUCAAUGACAGAUGUCUCUUUGAAUUGAUAAAAUCAUAAUCAAAUGGAUAUAAUACAGAAGUUUCAAAGAUCUGAAGAUUUUGUAAUGAAUGAUCCAGGAUCCAAAAGUUCUUCACGGAGUUCAAAGACAGUUACAAUGUGGUUGCUAAUUUAGUGACAGAUUAAGAAAGAAGUUCAAACAAGCAUUGUCAUGGGAAAACAUGAAAAAGGAAGAAGUUGGAGGUGCACAAAAAUCAGGAUGAAUAUACUAGAGGUAAAAAUUAUUUUGUCAAAUUAAUACUUGUGAUUGACCUUGUAUUUUGCC